CAUUAAGGUCUGGCGUUCUCUCAUUGUGGGCUGGGGUGCUUCAUUAAGGUUGGGGUCUCUCAUUAUGGGCUGGGGUCUCUCAUUAAGGUCUGGGGUCUCUCAUUAUGGGCUGGGGUCUCAUUAAGGUCUGGGGUCUCAUUAAGGUCUGGGGUCUCUCAUUAUGGGCUGGGGUCUCUCAUUAAGGUCUGGGGUCUCUCAUUAUGGGCUGGGGUCUCAUUAUCGGUUCUGGUGGUCUCUCCCUCUAUAGCUCCCCUAUGGGCCUAGCCCGCGCCAUAACUAGGCCGCAAUCCGCCCCCCGCUCCCCUUU
rnacentral:lncRNA from 1 species